rnacentral:rRNA from 1 species
CUUAUUUAUUAAAGAGUGACGGGCGAUAUGAGCAUAUUUUAUUGCUUUUUCAAGUCAACUUUUUCUUUUUGAGCUUACUUUUAAAUUCUGUUUUCGAUUAAACUUUCUUCUCUUCCAGCUUUGUUUUUUAUUGCAUCCCAUGUGCACUUAAAUUUUAUUCUUGUCUUGAUUUGUUUUUUGAUUAGGUUAAAAUAUCGGAAAUAAAAUUUUUAGUUCUUUUUUAAAACAAUGAUAUAAGAAAUAAUAACUUAAGUUUAUUUUAUCGUGGGUUGUCGAUUACGGGACAGGAUUCUCUAAAUCGAUAAAAUACCGCCAUUUUGUUUAGGUUUCGUUUAUUUAAUUACUUUCUUUGUUUUCGUUAAAG